rnacentral:rRNA from 1 species
GAUGAACGCUGGCGGCGUGCUUAACACAUGCAAGUCGAACGGGAAAUAUUUCAUUGAGACUUCGGUGGAUUUGAUUUAUUUCUAGUGGCGGACGGGUGAUUAACUCGUGGGUAACCUGCCUUAUACAGGGGGAUAACAGUCAGAAAUGGCUGCUAAUACCGCAUAAGCGCACAGAGCUGCAUGGCUCAGUGUGAAAAACUCCGGUUGUAUAAGAGGGACCCGCGUUGGAUUAGCUAGUUGGUGGGGUAACCGCCCACCAAGGCGACGAUCCAUAGCCGGCAUGUGAGGGUGGGCCGAGACAUUGGGAGUAGGCAGCAGCACGGAAUCCUACGGGAGGGAGGAGUGGGGGAUAGUGCAAAAUGGGGGGAACGCUGAUGGAGCGACGACGGGUGAAGGAAGUAAUAACUCGGUAAGUAAACUUCAAUCAACAGGGAAGGUAGUGACGGUACCUGAUCAAGAAGCCCCGGCUAACUACGUG